rnacentral:lncRNA from 1 species
GGGCACCAAAUAAAUUUCAAGACUCUUCAAUUAGACAUUUUAAAUUUUAAUUGUAUUGUAAUUUUAAUUGUUAGAACUUUUUAGACAAACUCUUUCCAUCAUGGGUCAUAGUGGCAAUUUUGUAGGAGCCCAAAUUGUAGGACACUUGUCACCCUAGGGUUUUAUAUUUCUAGGGUGGACCCCACCCUUUUUGGAUGACACUCGCGGCCUAGGGAAAAGAGUGAGCUAGCCGUCAUUUUUNAUUUGGCAGAGGACUUGGAACGUUGCUUUCCCAUGAAGCUUUUCUUUGAAGCCUUGGAUUUUGGUUGAAUGGAAAUGGUGCAAAUGCUGUUGAAUUUAUUUUUUAUUUUCUUUUUGAAUGCUCUUUUAAUUCUUGCUGCAGCUGCCGNCACUUCAUUUUGGGGAUUCUUGGAUAUUAGCUGGAACGUUAUUUUUUUUGAAAGGGUUUUAUUAAAUGGUGCCUUAGGUUCCAGUGGAACUNACACACCCAUUUUAAUUUGAGCCUUCGUUUAACAUUGCAGUAGAAGCACACGUUAUUNUUUUUAUUUUUUUUCUUUUGUGCUUUGAAUUGAAAGCUAAGGCCCAAGGAUAGUAUANAAGUAGAAUGGUGCAACAUUUGAAAUUGGUGUGCUGCUGCCAUGGGUCUCUGACCUUACUUUGCCUUGCUUUUAUUUAAAUUUUCAAUGCUUUUCUUUUAAGCUUCAUUCAAUGCAAUGGUGGGUCCAGUGAGUUGAUGUUUUUCUUUUUAAUUUUCAUCAAAUAAAGUGAUUAGAUGGAAGAAUGUGUAGGUUACGGUUAGGAGAGAUUAUUAGAUUUAUAGGUUUCACUUUUAUGAUUCAAAUCAUCA